rnacentral:rRNA from 1 species
UACAGAGGGGGCAAGCGUUGUUCGGAAUUACUGGGCGUAAAGGGCGCGUAGGCGGCCUGCUAAGUCGAACGUGAAAUCCCCGGGCUUAACCUGGGAACUGCAUUUGUGACUGCAUGGCUGGAGUGCGGCAGAGGGGGAUGGAAUUCCGCGUGUAGCAGUGAAAUGCGUAGAUAUGCGGAGGAACACCGAUGGCGAAGGCAAUCCCCUGGGCCUGCACUGACGCUCAUGCACGAAAGCGUGGGGAGCAAACAGG